GAUGAACGCUGGCGGCGUGCCUAAUACAUGCAAGCCGAGCGAACGGACGAGAAGCUUGCUUCUCUGAUGUUAGCGGCGGACGGGUGAGUAACACGUGGAUAACCUACCUAUAAGACUGGGAUAACUUCGGGAAACCGGAGCUAAUACCGGAUAAUAUUUUGAACCGCAUGGUUCAAAAGUGAAAGACGGUCUUGCUGUCACUUAUAGAUGGAUCCGCGCUGCAUUAGCUAGUUGGUAAGGUAACGGCUUACCAAGGCAACGAUGCAUAGCCGACCUGAGAGGGUGAUCGGCCACACUGGAACUGAGACACGGUCCAGACUCCUACGGGAGGCAGCAGUAGGGAAUCUUCCGCAAUGGGCGAAAGCCUGACGGAGCAACGCCGCGUGAGUGAUGAAGGUCUUCGGAUCGUAAAACUCUGUUAUUAGGGAAGAACAUAUGUGUAAGUAACUGUGCACAUCUUGACGGUACCUAAUCAGAAAGCCACGGCUAACUACG
rnacentral:rRNA from 1 species